AUACACUCCACCUGUGCACUCAAUGUGUUCCAGCUGUGCAUCUAAUGUCUUCCAGCUGUGCCCCUGAUAUAUUCCAGCCUGAGUUAGAUACAGAGCAACACUAGGCAGACACAUAGAGUUCUGGUCUUGAGUUAUCUUCGGCUCUCCAAAUGAUAUAGCCAGAAUUGUGAAGCCAUUGCCAUGUAGGGAAGGUUUCCUAGGAAAACCAGCAGGAAUUCUAGGAAGAUGGCUUCCAGGGCAAGCUUAAAGAGCUAUUGUAUCACAGUCUUCAGUAAAAGAGAAAAGUACCCUGUGAGUGUAUUGAGUAUCUUGGCAGAUAUGAAGGUGGGUUUAAGGGACACUUUAUAUGCCACUAAGAGCUGUUCAGUUUCUGGUCCUUGAACUCCUUUUGAAUUCUUAGGCUAAUUUCAUUGUGGUAACCAGUGGGAAUAAUGCUCCUGAGAAACAACAGAGUCACCGGUUUUCAAGACAAGAUUCUCAAACCUGUCAGCAAGGUAAAAAGGAGCAUUGCUCAGACAAUAGAGAAGACAUUGACUGGGAAAGAUCCCUUUGCAGAAAUAAAUUCUCUCAGGGCAUGAGAUGGAAAAGUUGAAAUAUAAAGAAGACCAGAUCCGGAGAAGAAUCUUUCUAAGUGCAAAGUAGAAGAAAAAUAUGAAACACAACUAUU